GAUGAACGCUGGCGGCGUGCCUAACACAUGCAAGUCGAACGAAGCACCUUACCUGAUUCUUCGGAUGAAAGUUUGGUGACUGAGUGGCGGACGGGUGAGUAACGCGUGGGUAACCUGCCCUGUACAGGGGGAUAACAGCUGGAAACGGCUGCUAAUACCGCAUAAGCGCACGAGGAGACAUCUCCUUGUGUGAAAAACUCCGGUGGUACAGGAUGGGCCCGCGUCUGAUUAGCUGGUUGGCAGGGUAACGGCCUACCAAGGCAACGAUCAGUAGCCGGUCUGAGAGGAUGACCGGCCACAUUGGAACUGAGACACGGUCCAAACUCCUACGGGAGGCAGCAGUGGGGAAUAUUGCACAAUGGGGGAAACCCUGAUGCAGCAACGCCGCGUGAGUGAAAAAGUAUUUCGGUAUGUACAGCUCUAUCAGCAGGGAAGAUAAUGACGGUACCUGACUAAGAAGCUCCGGCUAAAUACGUG
rnacentral:rRNA from 1 species